AAGUCACCUAAGUCUCCUAAAGGACCGGGGGUCUCAGUCCCAGGACCCACCUGAGACUCCUGAAGGCAAUUCCGGACUCCAGGUCGAUGGGAAGUGGGGAGGAGCUCAGGACAUGGGGGGUCCGAUGGGCCUCUGGGACUCACAGAUGCUGCUGCAGGCUGAGUGGGGAAGAACAGCCCUGUGGGAGUGGCCGAGGCUGCAGGUCGCCACCUGGCAAGGACAGCAAAGCUGCCUGGAUACACCUGGGAUGGUGAGAGCUGAUCAGCCCCACCCAGCUGCCAGGGUGUGUCUGAGGUCUGUGCCGAAGUUUCGUGGGGGUGGCAGCAGGGAGGGCGAGGCCCAGGCUUCCAGGCCAACGGAGCUGGGCUGCACAGACAGAAACACAACGGCCCCGUGUUAAGCAUUGUGGGCAGGUAGCUGGAAGCCUGGAUUCAGUGCUGCCUGAGGCUAUUCAGAUCGGCAUCCACGAGGCUACCCACCUCUUCGCUACAGAGCAGUGCUCAAUGUGACAAGCUCAAUGAACCCUGGGGACCAGAGAGUCUGCUGACUUGGAGAAAUGAUGAAGCAGGUGACUGGGCCGUGGCAGGGGAUGAAGGAUGAGGACGCUCUCACAGGUCUGGGUGAGGUACCCUGCGGUCUGUGCUGUACAGACUUGGAAGAGUGCAUCAAGAGUGUCCCUGCUGCUGUAGUCAUGGGGAGGCCGGCCCUUACUGCAUCCAGGAAUGAGGGGCAUCUGUCAUGCUGUCCACUCAGUCCCCAUGUCCAUCACUGACGACAGAGCACCAGAGUCUGGUGGGAGGGCAGGAAAGCACCCGAAGUCUUACCAUUCCUGGCAUGGGGGACAGGACAAGCUGACAGGACAUCAGUCUCCCUAUGCCCCCAAAUCUAGUUCACUCUACGUCCUAUUGGAACUGUCUGCACAGGUCGCCAGCCUGAGUGUCCCUUCCAUAGUUAAACAGCCAGAACUGAGAACAGGGUGUCAGAACCUAUCUGGAGUCCUCACAACUGCCUGGGGGUGGAGAGGCAUGGCUUGCAUCACACAGAGGCCAAACACAGAAGGGAAGCUAGAGCUUGAAGAGGGCAAAGUCUCAGGCAGCCUGGGAUCCAAGAGAAAGGUGGCAGACACCACGCUCAGGGGAAAGGUGCCUGGGGCACCGAGCUCGCACUGGCCUCCACCGUGACUCCUCUGCAUUGUGAUUUCAACGCUUUUCCAACAUGCAUGCGGGCUUGUUCCUGAAUAAAGCAAGGGCUCUGCACCAA